CAGAAGCAGGACUUUUAAAAACAGAAUAAAACCCGGCACCACUUUGGGGAAGGUGCGGUCAGCGAAAGGAAAAGACAAAAGGAAGUAUUUUUAGCAAGCUGCCCAUGGUGGCAGCCGACUUCCUGAUGGCUGAACCUGGAAGGACGGGACCCAAGAAUGUGCUGCCAAGAAGCUGCAAUGUGUUGGAGGAGCUGGAUCAGACUGGGCACCAGAUCCUAAGCAGAUCCUCCCCCUUCAACAAGGACAGAAAAGUGGGAUUGAUGUAGAACAUCUCUGGGGCGACAGCAUCCAUUUUUCUCCACCUGAAAAUGGUCCCCAUCCAUUCGAGAGAGGCCAUUCUGAUUUCAGAACCCAACACACCUCACCUGGACAAGGCUUUCUACUUUCCCCUGGAGGCAACCAGCCAGAGGAGAUGCAGAAGGUGAAGACCAAGGCAGGAAGCACGUUCCAGUUGGAGACCCAAAUCCACCAAGCUCCAUCUGCCAAAUCUUCCUAGGAAAAGGGUUGUUUUGCAUUUGUUUAAAGGGGGAAAAAUAGAUUCCCUUCUAUCCCUCCUGGGAUUUGAGGCUGAAAAAUGCAGAGGCAAUUGAUCAGCUGCUGCCUGUCUAGAUCAACUCCUUUGAAUAAAAGCCAGCAGCCAGUCUUUUAAA